GAUAUUGGUCAAUGGGGGGAACCCUGAACCAGCGACACCGCGUGAGGGAAGAAGGNUUNNGGAUUNUNAACCUCUGUUGUCGGNNNNNAUAAUGACGGUCCCCGAUGAGGAAGCCACGGCUAACUACGUGCCAGCAGCCGCGGUAAUACGUAGGUGGCAAGCGUUGUCCGGAAUUACUGGGUGUAAAGGGAGCGUAGGCGGGAAGGCAAGUUGAAUGUUAAAUCUAUCGGCUCAACCGAUAGCCGCGUUCAAAACUGUCUUUCUCGAGUGAAGUAGAGGCAAGCAGAAUUCCUAGUGUAGCGGUGAAAUGCGUAGAGAUUAGGAGGAAUACCAGUGGCGAAGGUGGCUUGCUGGGCUUUUACUGACGCUGAGGCUCGAAAGUGUGGGGAGCAAACA
rnacentral:rRNA from 1 species